UCUUAUGGAUGAGCAAAGAAAGUGGUUUAUUGAGAUAGAAUCAGCUCCUGGUGAAGAUGCUGUGAA
rnacentral:pre_miRNA from 1 species